rnacentral:misc_RNA from 1 species
GAUGAAGAACGUAGCGAAAUGCGAUAAGUAAUGUGAAUUGCAGAAUUCAGUGAAUCAUCGAAUCUUUGAACGCACAUUGCGCCCGCCAGUAUUCUGGCGGGCAUGCCUGUUCGAGCGUCAUUACAACCCUCAGGCCCCCGGGCCUGGCGUUGGGGAUCGGCGGAAGCCCCCUGCGGGCACAACGCCGUCCCCCAAAUACAGUGGCGGUCCCGCCGCAGCUUCCAUUGCGUAGUAGCUAACACCUCGCAACUGGAGAGCGGCGCGGCCACGCCGUAAAACACCCAACUUCUGAAUGUUGACCUCGAAUCAGGUAGGAAUACCCGCUGAACUUAGCAUAUCAAUAAGCGGAGGA